AUGGCAGAAUCCAGGCAAAGGACAGGAUCCCCCUCCAUUACUGCUGGCUGCCACGUGAGGAUGGACCUGUGUCGGUGGGACACUGCUGUCACUGUGUGUUUCCCCAUGAAGAAGGGGUUCUCACUGUGCUAUCACAAUCACAGGAGAAGUGGGAGAACUACAGGCAGACAUCCUGCACUUGUGGCUACCAGGUUUUUAGGAGAGACGAAUGGUGCUUUGUGUGUAUUCCAUAGCCUGCAGAUAGGAGAAAUCAAAAGUGCCGAGCUGACAACUUAAACUUUGUCAAGUAAAAGGUGAAAACAUGCUUCUCUAAGAAAUCAAAGUGACAGCCCUGAGAGAAGUCACACAUACAGCUGUUUUUAUACAAUGGGUAAUGGUUUCCA
rnacentral:lncRNA from 1 species